UCACACUUUUGAUAUAUUUUACUAGCCAAAUUCAUUAAGAAAUUAAUGAAACUCCUUGUGUCCACGUAAACUAUUGAAAUUCCAACAACUCAAUAUAAGUUUUGCUAACCCAUCAUUGAUCACUUAAAGUGCAGCUUACCUUUGAUUGAAAUUACUUUUUAGUUUGUCCUUUUAUAUUGCUCUCUCAACCAUGGCUAUGUUAUGUAGUUGUUGCUUUAGGAAUGUUAUAUUAGUUAGAUUCAAAGAUUUAAAGGAAGUUAUUUAACAUAGUUUAAUUAGUAUUAUGUAAAUUAACCUUCAUAUCUGUGUUGCAACUACGUGAUGUAAACACAAAUGAAUAUAUGUUAGGGGUGCAAGGAUCAUAGCACAAGACAUUUCUUUCAAGAACACUGUUGGGCCCGAAAAUGACCAAGUAGUGGUUCUAUGCUCAGACUCUGACUUAUCUGUCUUCUAUAGAUGUGGAAUCUUUGAUUAUCAAGACAGUUUACUUGUCAACAUCAAUCGUCAAUUUUACAGAGAAUGCCAAAUUAGUGGAACUGUAGACCAUAUUUGGGUAUGCUAGAGCAGUGUUUCAAAGCUGCCAAAUACUUGUAAAAAAGGAUUGCAUGGACAACAGAGCACAGUCACAGCUCAAGGAGGACUACACAAUGGAGCAUCAUACCAUGGAAGCCCUAUUCAACCAUAUUUUUCAUACAAACUUAUAUGAGCGAGGUAUUGAGUCCUUAGGGGUGGCUACAAUGGAAUCUAUAUCAAUAUUUGGAUACAUUGUAUUAUGCAGAGUAUAAUAAUUAUUGUCAUUGAACUAACCUACAAAAUUGAGUGAAAUGGUCAAGCUUUCACGUGUUAAAUGAUUCAAGUCGGGCUAAUAAUUUCAGUGUGGCUACAUUAAUUUUAGGGGAGCAAUGACUACCUUCAAGAGGUGUACAUUUUACCUGUGCAUUUGAGAAUUAAAACACUACUCAAGAGAAAUUGUAAUUGUAAAAAAAAAAAAAAAACUAAAUAAUU